CCUACGGGAGGCAGCAGUGGGGAAUAUUGCACAAUGGGCGCAAGCCUGAUGCAGCCAUGCCGCGUGUGUGAAGAAGGCCUUCGGGUUGUAAAGCACUUUCAGCGGGGAGGAAGGCGUUAAGGUUAAUAACCUUGUCGAUUGACGUUACCCGCAGAAGAAGCACCGGCUAACUCCGUGCCAGCAGCCGCGGUAAUACGGAGGGUGCAAGCGUUAAUCGGAAUUACUGGGCGUAAAGCGCACGCAGGCGGUCUGUCAAGUCGGAUGUGAAAUCCCCGGGCUCAACCUGGGAACUGCAUUCGAAACUGGCAGGCUAGAGUCUUGUAGAGGGAGUUAGUAUUCCAGGUGUAGCGGUGAAAUGCGUAGAGAUCUGGAGGAAUACCGGUGGCGGAGGCGGCCCCCUGGACAAAGACUUACGCUCAGGUGCGAAAGCGUGGGGAGCAAACAGGAUUAGAUACCCUAGUAGUC
rnacentral:rRNA from 1 species